CGUGUAGGCGGCCAGACAGGUCCGUUGUGAAAACUCGAGGCUCAACCUCGAGACGUCGAUGGAAACCGUCUGGCUAGAGUCCGGAAGAGGAGAGUGGAAUUCCUGGUGUAGCGGUGAAAUGCGCAGAUAUCAGGAAGAACACCUAUGGCGAAGGCAGCUCUCUGGGACGGUACUGACGCUGAGCGCGAAGCGUGGGAGCGAACA
rnacentral:rRNA from 1 species